GAGGUUAGAGAGCAGCUCCCAAGGCCGGAGAGGAUGCGCUCACACCCCAAAAAGUGCAACCCAAACAAAUUCUGCCUCUAUCAUCAUGACCACGGCCACGAUACUGAGGAAUGUAUUCAGCUCUGAGACGAGAUCGAGGAGCUCAUCAGACAAGGUCGGCUCGACAGAUUCAUUCGACGCCGACCUGAAGGAAGAGAAGAUCGGCCUAGGGCCCUACCAC
rnacentral:lncRNA from 1 species